UUUUUUGUUUGGGUAGGGGAGCGUCGUGCAUGUGUUGAAGCGUUACCGUAAGGAGGCGUGGAGUGUGUGCGAGUGAGAAUGCAGGCAUGAGUAACGAAUUGGAAGGUGAGAAUCCUUCCCGCCGGAUGACUAAGGGUUCCUGGGUCAAGUUCGUCUUCCCAGGGUGAGUCGGGACCUAAGGCGAGGCCGACAGGCGUAGUCGAUGGAUAACCAGUUGAUAUUCUGGUACCCGUAUAUCCGCGCCCAUGAUAAAGCACUGAUACUAACCACCGCGGAUACGAUUGAUGUGUUCUUUGAACACGUUGGUUGUUGAUGUCGUGGGGCCUGAUGUGUGGUUCAAGUGAUGGGGUGACACAGUGUAGUAGCCAUGCCGCUUAAUGGAUUGUUGGUGUAAGCGUGUGAGGUGGUGUGUAGGUAAAUCCGCAUGCUGUUAAACCUGAGGCGUGAUGCGUAGCCCAAUUGGGGUGAAGUUGGUGAUCUAGUACUGUCGAGAAAAGCCUCUAGCGAUGUGGAUGUAUGGCCCGUACCCUAAACCGACACAGGUGGUCAGGUUGAAAAUACUAAGGCGUUCGGGUGAACUGUGGUUAAGGAACUCGGCAAAAUGCCCCCGUAACUUCGGGAGAAGGGGGACCACACGACUUAAGCACUCCUUGCGAGUGUGGUGGGUUGUGGGGUCGCAGAGAAUAGAGGGAAGCGACUGUUUAUCAAAAACACAGGUCCAUGCGAAGACGUGAAGUUGAUGUAUAUGGACUGACGCCUGCCCGGUGCUGGAAGGUUAAGAGGACCGGUUAGUAGUCUUUGACUGCGAAGCUGAGAAUUUAAGCCCCAGUAAACGGCGGUGGUAACUAUAACCAUCCUAAGGUAGCGAAAUUCCUUGUCGGGUAAGUUCCGACCUGCACGAAUGGCGUAACGACUUCUCUGCUGUCUCAACCACAGGCCCGGUGAAAUUGCACUACGAGUAAAGAUGCUCGUUACGCGCGGCAGGACGAAAAGACCCCGGGACCUUCACUAUAGCUUGGUAUUGGUGUUCGGUUCGGUUUGUGUAGGAUAGGUGGGAGACUAUGAAGCGGCCACGCUAGUGGUUGUGGAGUCGUUGUUGAAAUACCACUCUGAUCGGAUUGGAUGUCUAACCUUGGCCCAUGAUCUGGGUUGGGGACAGUGCCUGGUGGGUAGUUUAACUGGGGCGGUUGCCUCCCAAAAUGUAACGGAGGCGCCCAAAGGUUCCCUCAGCCUGGUUGGCAAUCAGGUGGUGAGUGUAAGUGCACAAGGGAGCUUGACUGUGAGACAGACAUGUCGAACAGGGACGAAAGUCGGGACUAGUGAUCCGGCACCUACUUGUGGAUGUGGUGUCGCUCAACGGAUAAAAGGUACCCCGGGGAUAACAGGCUGAUCUUCCCCAAGAGUCCAUAUCGACGGGAUGGUUUGGCACCUCGAUGUCGGCUCGUCGCAUCCUGGGGCUGGAGUAGGUCCCAAGGG
rnacentral:rRNA from 1 species